UACGAAGGGGGCUAGCGUUGUUCGGAAUUACUGGGCGUAAAGGGCGCGCAGGCGGCUCUUCAAGUCAGAUGUGAAAGCCCCGGGCUCAACCUGGGAACUGCAUUUGAGACUGGAGAGCUUGAGUUCGGGAGAGGAUGGUGGAAUUCCCAGUGUAGAGGUGAAAUUCGUAGAUAUCGGGAGGAACACCAGUGGCGAAGGCGGCUCUCUGGGCAGAUACUGACGCUGAGACGCGAAAGCGUGGGUAGCAAACAGG
rnacentral:rRNA from 1 species